rnacentral:lncRNA from 1 species
AUUUCGAAAUGCUUUUAUAUACAGAUAUCAAUAAAGAAUUUAAUUUUAAAGGUAAGUCGUAAGUACUUUCUCAGAUUUUAAUAAUUCAAAAAGAGCAAAACAUCUUUAUACAUUUUAAUUAACAUUGAAAUAAAAAUAUAGAUAUAAUUUCGAAUAUAUAAUUGUAUUAUAAUCUUAUUUUGUGUACUUAUAGGCCAUAAAGGAAUUUACAAUUAUUAUACAUCGUAUGUGCAAUAUAGUAAGUAAACUUGAUUGGACUUUAUAAUCUUAAAACCACUAAAUAUAUUUGUUUAUAAAAGUAUUCAAACAGAUAGAUUUAAAUGCGAGAUUUAUAUUUAAGUAUAAUUUUAUCAUAAAUGUAUAGUACAAAUAAAUCAAGUUACCUCAUAAAACCGCUCACUAUACAUAAUAUUAAUAUAUUUAUCAACUCUGGGAGUUAGGUGGAAGUCGUACAAUCAUUAGCGGAAAUCAGGGGGAGGCUUUAGGGGUCUAGGCCUGCUCAAAAUGUACAAACAGAGAUAUUAGCCUUUCGAAAUAAUCAGUAAUCAGUAUGAUCAUAAAUUAGUAAUUUGAAAGGGACUAAUUUUUUUGUUUAUACAUGAAUGGGCUUAGAUCCUUCAAACCCCCCUAUUUCCGCCAAUGCGUAUAGUUUUUAACAAUAAUAUACUAUUAAAGUAUUACACAUAUUCGAAAAUCAUGAAAUAUAUUUAAAACCAUAGGCAGAAGAUUUUGAACAUAUCAUAAAAGGCUCGCUAUUUUAGAUAAUUGUAUAGUUUUACCUGACUUUUGCUAUAUUCUCCAUUUUCAUUUUCGUUAAAUUUUGUUCGUUAUACAAAUUACUUAACUUAUCCUUAUAUAUUGUUAUUUUUUUGUUUUGUAAGUUAUAACAUUUUAAUAAUACAAGUAUUAGUAUCAUAAAACCCCAAAAGACAAAAACAAACGAAAUUAUAAAUAUGCUAUUUAUAUAGUUUAUAUAGCAAAUAUAUUUUUCCACAUUUAAGAAUUAUUAACGAAUCGGUUACAAAAUUUCACAAAUUUUACCAAUUUCUAAAUUAAUUUUUUUAUCGUGGUGAACAUGAAGAAUGGAAACAUCAUUCAACCGUUUUUGACUGAUUGCAGAUCUUAUGUAUGUCUUUAGUCUACAGAAAAAGAUAGUUAAAAUGUUCAUGAUAACAUUGGUAUUAAUAACAUUAUACAUGAUAUUUUAUUUAACUCUGGUAAAAUUUGAUGAAGUGCAUCAGCGUUCCUAAUUAGUUUCAAGACAUAUUCAAUAUUACUUCCCUUGAUUUUGCUGCACCCGAAAGCAUAUCUCUAUGUAAUUUCAAUUUAUCAACAUCAAAAUCUGGUCUAUUAUAUUUAACUAUGCCUUUAAAUGAAAUUUAUUUUCUAAUGAUGAAUCUUUUGAAUAGGUAUAGAAAAAUUGUCUAUAACAUUUUUUUAAAAUAAUUUAUCUAAUAAAAUAUUCUUAUAGAAUAUAUUGAAUAUAAAAUAUAAUAUCAUACAAUUUAUUUUAUUCAAUAAAAGAUAAUAAACCAUAAUAUUUCGUGACAUGUACUCCAUCCUAGAUCUGCGUCUUUUAAUAUAAUGGGCUUUACAUUACUAUCUGUAUCGCGUUUCUUCUAACGCAGUAGAUGUCCUAUCAUUUUAUCUUUUUUGACUUUAAUAAAUUAACCAAAGUUUUCGUUUUUUCCCAUAAAUAAUAUAUUUUAUUGUAAAUUUCUCAGUGGUAUUGAAUAUAAAGUCAUUGACGAGUAAGUAUUUUAUGUAAACGUUUUAUGAUAGAAUCCUGUGUACCAAUAUUUCUAAUUCUUACAGGAGUUAAAAACAAAUAUUAUAAAAUGAUAUGAGAAUUCUAAUAUGUGUGCUUUCCCAAAAUGUUUCAUUGUUAACUAGGUUACAUACAAAUUUAAAGUUCUUUGAUUAAUAUUCAAUUUAAAAAAGACGGACAUACUUCGCAAGACGAGUGGACUACUAUUGUAAGUGAGAAGUUGAAAAGGUGGGAUAUGGAGAGAAAUUUAAUUUAUAUUUGUACUCAACGAUAAAUCAUUGUUUACGAAAAAAGAUUCAGAGCGAAGUUCGGAUUUAUAUGUUUUAAAAGGCCGUUGUAGUAAAAUACAAAUAUUGUAAAAAGUGAAAAUAGGUUAAAGGCGAAAGUCAAGGGAAAAUAUAAUGCGUGCGGAGUAUUAUUGGUAUUGGUGUUAAUAUUGUUUUAUCAUACGUGGAUUCUCUACUUUACAAACAACGAUAAAAGUGAAAUAAUCUUAUGAAUACAAGAGUGAACGGUGAGGGGUGUAUGUGUGAAGAUCGACGAUUUUACGACCUAAUGCGAACAACCAAAUAUGGUGCUAUGGUGUGACAUGGUAUACUAUAAAUAUACAUUAUACUAUGUAACGAAAUCAAACUGUAUAUAUUGAUUAUUAUUGUGUAUCGUCCGAAGGCCGUCCUAAUCAGUAUGAGUGUGUGUUUAAAUAUAUGUGUAAAUGACUAUUUCCUAUAUUACGCGACUAUUUGCUCUGACUUACGAAAAAUCUAAAUACUAUUCUAUUACGGGAGUGAAGUAACUUUCACUUACCUCGUUAAUCUGCAAGAAUUUUAAUAGUCCACAAGAAAAUUUUGGUGGCUGUAGAAAUAUUUGAAAACUUAAUAAAUUAUGUUAUAAAUAAAUAAAAUCCUUUAUAUUAUUUUAUAAAUGCAUUUUUUUUUUUUAUUAGUGAAAUAUUAUUUAUGAAAAAGAAGGUGUUAGUUCAAAACAUUGAAUAAGGACCUGAAAUUUGUUGUAUAAACACUAUAAACUUUAUAAUAGUCCAUAGAAUUUGCAGUUAUGAAUUUAGUGGUCCGUGAGGUCAAAAAGGUUGGCGACCGCUGGAUUAGAGAGUAGUAUACUCUGGUGGUCAAUGUGUGAUAUUAACAGAUGUUAAUUGUUAUGGAGACUGGUAGUUUUAUAAUAUCACGCUUGAGCGUUUACUUCCAACACUAAAUAUUUAAUGCAUUACACCGUAAUAUGUACAAUUUUCGUCAAAAUUGUAUAUUAAAAUUCUCAUUAAAAACAAAAAUACUAUCUACAUUAAACUCAUUUUUUUUUUUUUACUACAAAGUACGACUUAUAAUGAACCAGGAGGUUAAAUUUCCAAGAAUUACUGUUCAGUCUAACAAUUUUAUCCACAGAGUAGGUAUACAUGUCAAAUAAAACUGUAGGAAAAUUCGUAAAAUAAAAAUGUCCAUAAAUAGCUCAAAUGUAUUUAAAAUUGUAUCACGUCUAAAAAAGGUUAAUAUAAGUUUUGUUCCAAUCUCAAGUCUUUACGAAUAUUUUUAAUUACAACAAAAAAACAAAAAUUCAAAAUAACACAUUUCGUAAAUUUUCACAUUUUUCCUAUGUUAUUUCCUGGUUUUCUUAUUAUUAUAAAAUGGACUCCUUAAAGUACCAAGUAGAUAAAAUUUCCUUUCAGAAGAGGUUCUACACUUGAUACAUUAAGAGGAAGAUGUCUUGUAGAAAAUUUGUCCAUAAAAAAAGAAAAAAAACAUCAUUGUAAAAUGAUGUUAUCAACUGUAUAUUUACCAACUUUUCUAGUCAUUUUUAGUCAGGGUUAAUUCCAACUGCUUUUUAAAAUUAUACAAAUCAUACCAUAUUAAAAAAAAAAAAAUCACAAUUUGAGUCUAAUCAUUUUUACUGUUAGUGUGCUCAGUACCUAACUAAUGGUAGGUGCAUAAAAUAAAAGAUAUAACCUAUAAUGACUCAAUAAAAAAAGUGUAUCUUUUAAUCAGAUAUUCCCAACAAACAAUUAAAGGUUUAAAAAACACCAGUUCGAAAAGUUUUAGCAAUUGCGGCAAAUUGUAGUUUUAUUACAACACUCUAACCGGGACAUGUUAUAUAAUUCUUUUCAGCAUUUGCGGCAUCGUACUAUGAAUAUCUCCAAACCGAGGCUUCUAAAUGUAUGUACCUACCUAAAAUAUUAAUUUGGAAAUUAUUUUAACUAAAAUAUCGGUUUUUCAUAACACAAUAAUAUUGUUGAUAUACGAUAUAAUAUUUCGAAUGUUACAUUAGUACAUACACUGCAAUCAAAAACAAUAUAACUACGAAUAUUAUUAUGAAACAUUAGCAAGCUCUACAUUCAAUUAUACAUUCUAUUACUCUAGAACCGUUAAUGUUCAAUAAAUAGUGUAUAAACCUUAAAUCAGUAAAAAAAUUAAAAUUGUAUUAAAUACAUACUUUUAAAAUGUUAUAUGUUACCAUCUUAAGUAAGAAUUAGAGUAGUUUUAUAAAUUUGUUUUAAUAUUCUACAAAUAAAUAUAUUAGGUACCUUAACUUAAAAAGUUAUGAUUAUGGUUAAAUUACUCACUACCUAAUUCCUAGUUACUAUUAGGAACUAUUUUCGUUUUUUAUUCAAUUUAUUAAUUUCAAUAUCAUUUGUGUAAGUAAAUGAUUGGGCUGUUGAAGUAUGUUAAACUAUAUAGUGUAGGUAUUUUAUUAUAAUAUUGUAAUUUUUUAAAUAAUAACAACUAAAUAAAUAAUACCUCAUAUCUAUCUCUAUAAAAUAUAACAAUAUUAAUUUUAAACUGUAGACAGAGUUUUAACAACACAGGAAUGGUGUGCGGCAGG